rnacentral:rRNA from 1 species
ACGGACCAGACUCCUACGGGAGGCAGCAGUGAGGAAUAUUGGACAAUGGGCGUAAGCCUGACCCAGCCAUGCCGCGUGCAGGAAGAAGGCGUUAUGCGUUGUAAACUGCUUUUUUAUAGGAAGAAGGAUCCCUUGCGAGGGAAGGUGACGGUACUAUAAGAAUAAGCACCGGCUAACUCCGUGCCAGCAGCCGCGGUAAUACGGAGGGUGCAAGCGUUGUCCGGAUUUAUUGGGUUUAAAGGGUGCGUAGGCGGUUUAUUAAGUCAGUGGUGAAAGACGGUCGCUCAACGAUUGCAGUGCCAUUGAUACUGGUAGACUUGAGUGAGAUUGAGGUAGCUGGAAUGGAUAGUGUAGCGGUGAAAUGCAUAGAUAUUAUCCAGAACACCGAUUGCGAAGGCAGGUUACUAAGUCUUAACUGACGCUGAGGCACGAAAGUGUGGGGAUCAAACAGGAUUAGAUACCCUGGUAGUCCACACUGUAAACGAUGAUGACUAACUGUUGGCUUUCGGGUCAGUGGUACAGAGAAAUCGUUAAGUCAUCCACCUGGGGAGUACGCCGGCAACGGUGAAACUCAAAGGAAUUGACG